AUUAUUUAUACUAAAUCAGUUGGUUAUUGAAAUGGCAACCGUACUUGCUUUCUUUAAAGUACUUCUUGUUGAUUGAAAUAAGUACUUAUGGUUUUCCUUAUCAAAGUCGUAUUAGAAAGCCUACGUUGGAACAGGUCGUGGUGGAGUGCUCGAAGAGAAAUCGACUACUACAAUAGAAAAACACAACAUCCGUAUGGCUUCUCCAAGGAGUAGAGGAUCUUCUUUGGAGCGUUCAUACUGAGAGAGAUGUGGUGAAGCAAAUGCAAUCAUGUCGCUUUUCCAAGGCGUAGAGGACCUUCUUUGGGGUGUUCGUACUGGGCGAUGCGGUCACGUCGCUUUCCCAAGGCGCAGAGCACCUUCGUUGGAGCGUUCGUACUGGGCGAUGAAGUAAUGCGAUCACGUCUCGUCGGUAAGUCUCACUCAGAUAUAAACAUAUAAU